AUUUACUUCCCUCUACAGCUUCGAGAUAUUCUUCUAAGUUGGUCUUGGUCUACUUUAUUUUUCUUAGUUUUGCGUCUUGUACUUAUCCAAUUUUUUGGCUUCGGACUUUUCUAUCUUCCAAUUACUUGGACCUCUAUCUUGUAUGCUUGUCUCCAACAGCUUGUUUCUCAUUUUCUACCUCAAACACUCGAACAUCUUUUCAACCUUCUCUUUCUAGAUGUCUUCUGCCUCCUACCUUCUGGGCUUAGUUUUUUUCUGUCUUCUAAAAGCCGUAUUUUUUAUCUUCUAGUUUUCCUAUCUUCACUAAUCUUUUCUUCACCUUCCUGUACUUGUCUUCCGAGUUUUCCACUUCAAAUUUCUAAUCUUCUUUCUUCCUUUCUCAUACUAUUUUUUAAGGACGUCUCCAUUUUCCCCUAAAAUAAGACCUUCCUAUUAAUUAUCAGAUCUACUCUCACGAAUUUAACUCAAAACUACAGCUCAGUAUUUUCGCUAAUUUAUAAUUCCUAGAGAAUAAGAGUAAUCCCUAUCUUAACAGAAAAACUUAUCUGCGGUCUCCUCAAGAAGCGUUUCCUGCCUCUCAGCCGUCUCUGCGCUCGCUGCCUCAAUGCCUGCCUCCCGACCCGCAGCGCGCGGCGUAUUUAUAGCCCAAGGACACCUCACACCCCCGUCAUCCAAUAACCCUCCGCCGCCUUUGUGAGGGAAGCAAAAAUAGUUCCUCGGAAGGAGUUAAAAAUAGAAUCUGGUUUAUAAGACUCUAGGUUUUUCCUUAACAGUUUAUAUAACUUGCUCGCAAACUCUGUACCCAGAUGUUUAAGUAGAUUUGAACUGAAAACUUGAGUAAAAACAAUGGAAACCACGUUUAAACAGACCAUCAAACAGCUGACAAAAACUCAGAAUUACUUGGAAAUGUUUUAGUAGCUUUUAAAAUACCUUCUGUGUUUCCUUCGAGUACAGUAGGUACAAUUUAGUGCUUUGGAGGCUAGGAAAGUAAAACUAAGUUUGCUGAUGGCCUUCAUUUCCAUUAUGUAACAGAGCUUCAGCCUCACAAAUAGAGCGGAGCCAUCUUAGAAGGACCGAAGGGUGGGAGUUUCGCCCCCAUGGGCCGCAGGUCCUGAGGAUUAUAUCACACCGUCUUGAUUGCCAUUUUAUUCGUGAGAUCCGAUCAGCCCAGGUGAUCUAUGUAAGAAUUGGACUAAAUGUGGAAAUCCACUUCUGGAAAAUGUCUGACAGCCACUCUUUACCACUGUUGCCUGCAACAGAGCUGGUCACGCAUCGCAAGGGAUUAGGACCAAAAUUGAGGCAUCCAGGUGGGCUUAUCUUAAUUUGAAAAACUUCGUGUUUUUAUUGUUGAUUUAGUAGGUAGGAAACAUCAGCUAGGACACCCCUCCCCCCAUGCUUUUGGUUGUUGCCUUCUUGGGACAUUUUAAAUGAAGCCUGGAUUAACUUUUUCAAACGUGAACCGUGGCUAAGCUUCUAGGCCUGUCUCUCUAAAGUGUUCAAAACCCAAGUCCAAUCAAAACUAACUUUACAUGUCCUCUUUAAAUUAUCUGAAAAGGCCAGGUUUCACCUCCGAAGAUACUGCGACCUUGAGCCGUCAGUGGGGGAGGGAACUUGUUCUCAAAUUAUUUACGAACUUUUACUGCUGGUCUGCUUUUCUAGGUUCUAAUAUUUUUACGUAUUUUGUAUUAUCUCUGGUUUGACUCCCUUUAAGACUUUUAAAAGUGGAGCCGGGAGGAAAAUAAAAUUUUUCUCCAAACCCAAAGCCUCCCUUUCUGCGGUUUUAUUUUUAAAGCACCCCGUGUUUCCCACCUGGGUGGAAAAGCGGAGGGAAGCGCCAGGGCGGAACUGGCUGCUGUGUCUCAAGGACUCUAGGAGAAGCCUCGGUCCCCGGGGCGGCAAAGGGGACCCGAGUGAGGCUUGAGGACUUAGAAAUGACAAUGGCGCCAGGGAGCGUCCCAGAUACCGGCUUCCAAGCGGCUAAAGCGGCUGAGGCGCGAAGAAGAAGCAGGUAAGAGGCCGAGCGGGGUGGGCGCGAGCCCCCGGGGCCGAGGGGGUGGGGGACGGGUUUCCCGGCCCAGCGCUGCCCGCGGCCGCAGAAAAGGGAGAAGCGGUGGGGGAGGGGUGCUACCCGAGCGCCGCGCCCCUUCCCCCCGCCCCCCCCAAGCCUGCCUCGCGCAGGGAUAUGCUGGCCGUGAGCCGCCGCCUCCCUUUGUGAGGCGUAGGCUCGCGGGCGGGCGCCGCCGGUUCUAACCGGUUCCAGCCGGUCCCG
rnacentral:lncRNA from 1 species